rnacentral:rRNA from 1 species
UAGGGAAUCUUCCACAAUGGACGCAAGUCUGAUGGAGCAACGCCGCGUGAGUGAAGAAGGUCUUCGGAUCGUAAAGCUCUGUUGUUGGUGAAGAAGGAUAGAGGCAGUAACUGGUCUUUAUCUGACGGUAAUCAACCAGAAAGUCACGGCUAACUACGUGCCAGCAGCCGCGGUAAUACGUAGGUGGCAAGCGUUGUCCGGAUUUAUUGGGCGUAAAGCGAGCGCAGCGGAAUGAUAAGUCUGAUGUGAAAGCCCACGGCUCAACCGUGGAACUGCAUCGGAAACUGUCAUUCUUGAGUGCAGAAGAGGAGAGUGGAACUCCAUGUGUAGCGGUGGAAUGCGUAGAUAUAUGGAAGAACACCAGUGGCGAAGGCGGCUCUCUGGUCUGCAAACUGACGCUGAGGCUCGAAAGCAUGGGUAGCGAACAGGAUUAGAUACCCUGGUAG